AUAAAGAUAAUGCAAAAUGACGUCAAAAUAGCCACCAGGAAAAGUUAACUCUUUCCUGGAUAGGUAUGUUUAGUGGGACAAGACUGCCCUCUAUAGACCAAAUAACUAAAUUGCGAUCUGGAAGAUAACCACACCUCUAGUACUUCUAUUGGGUUAUCAACUGAUGACGUACAGAGAGUCUGGCCCUUUAAAAGUUAAGACAAAGGGAAGAUAGAGAGACAAGACGAAGGAGGCAGAUGCAAGAUAUGAAAAGGAGAGAAAAGAGAGGAAUUGGAAGUUUGGGGACUCCAACCUCCAUGCAGAGACACAUCCAAAUAAAUUCCUGAGACUACCAAUCG